ACGUAGGAGGCAAGCGUUAUCCGGAGUUACUGGGCGUAAAGCGUGCGCAGGCGGUUCGCUAAGACAGGUGUGAAAUCCCCGGGCUUAACCUGGGAAUGGCGCUUGUGACUGGCGGGCUGGAGUACGGCAGAGGGGGGUGGAAUUCCACGUGUAGCAGUGAAAUGCGUAGAUAGGCGGAGGAACACCGAUGGCGAAGGCAUCCCCUGGGCCCGCACUGACGCUCAUGCACGAAAGCGUGGGGAGCAAACAG
rnacentral:rRNA from 1 species